GACGAACGCUGGCGGCGUGCUUAACACAUGCAAGUCGAACGGAAAGGCCCUCUUUUGGGGGGUGCUCGGGUGGCGAACGGGGGGGGAACACGUGAGUAACCUGCCCCUGACUUUGGGAUAACUUCAGGAAACUGGGGCUAAUACCGGAUAGGAACCCCUUCUGCAUGGUGGGGGGUGGAAAGUUUCGGCGGUUGGGGAUGGACUCGCGGCUUAUCAGCUUGUUGGUGGGGUAGUGGCUUACCAAGGCUUUGACGGGUAGCCGGCCUGAGAGGGUGACCGGCCACAUUGGGACUGAGAUACGGCCCAGACUCCUACGGGAGGCAGCAGUGGGGAAUAUUGCACAAUGGGCGGAAGCCUGAUGCAGCAACGCCGCGUGCGGGAUGACGGCCUUCGGGUUGUAAACCGCUUUCGCCUGUGACGAAGCGUGAGUGACGGUAAUGGGUAAAGAAGCACCGGCUAACUACGUG
rnacentral:rRNA from 1 species